GUGAGCCCUACAGGGCCCCCCAAACCCACACUAUAACAGAAUUAGAUUAUAGGGACACAUGUUUGGGACACUUUUGUGUAAGUGUCCAAUUUAUGCCAAAACUUAAAAAAUAAUCUACUAAUGCCUAUAUAUAAAGCCCAAUCCAACCAAAAAUAAAAGGUUAUUCUACUCAACCCACCUCACCCAGCCCAUUCGGCCCGAUUACAAACAGAAAAAAAGAAAAAGAAAAAUUGAUUACCAUCUCUUCUUCUCCCCUCACUCAAUCCAUUGAAACCCUAGACGAAGAGCCCUUCCCUCUGGUCCUCCUCCGCCACCGCAGCCAACGAGGUAGAGUUUCGAUGGUUGCUAAAUAUUUAAAUAAGUGUUGGUAAAUUAGUAGCACUUUUUUUAGGUUAUAGUGACACUCUUUAACUGUCACUAUAUAUCUAGCGACCCCACAUAUAGCAACAUUUUUUAAGAGUGUCGGCAAUUUAGCUAGCAACAUUUUUUUUGACCUGUGCUGACAUUUAAAAGUGUCGCUAUAGACCGUUUUUGUUGUAGUGCCAGAGAGCCUUGUGGGUUCCCAAUUCAUGUAUUUAUAUAGUUAGUAAUCCGUGCUACGCAACAAUUUUUUUUUCAUACUUUAUAAAUAAUUAAUAAAUAAUAAAAUAUUUUUAUUUAUAAAGUAAAUAACAAUAUAUUUGGCUCUAUUAAAUAAAAAAAUUUUACAGUU
rnacentral:lncRNA from 1 species